UUAGGAAUUUUGGGCAAUGGGCGAAAGCCUGACCCAGCAACGCCGCGUGGGUGACGAAGGCCUUCGGGUUGUAAAGCCCUUUUCUGGGGGAAGAGUGAUGACGGUACCCCAGGAAGAAGCACCGGCUAACUACGUGCCGAGCAGCCGCGGUAAUACGUAGGGUGCAAGCGUUGCCCGGAUUUAUUGGGCGUAAAGGGCGCGUAGGCGGCUCGGCACGUCCGUUGUGAAAUCGCCCGGCUCAACUGGGCGGGGUCAGCGGAUACGGUCGAGCUUGAGCAAGCUAGGGGGCAAUGGAAUUCCCGGUGUAGUGGUGGAAUGCGUAGAUAUCGGGAGGAACACCAGUGGCGAAGGCGGUUGCCUGGGGCUUUGCUGACGCUGAUGCGCGAAAGCGUGGGGAGCGAUCCGGAUUAGAUACCCGGGUAGUCCACGCCGUAAACGAUGCGGACUAGGGUGUCGGGGGUAUCGGACCCCCUCGGCGCCGCAGCUAACGCAUUAAGUCCGCCGCCUGGGGACUACGGCCGCAAGGCU
rnacentral:rRNA from 1 species